CCCACUUCAGGCAGCUUAAUCAAUAGCUUAUCUCACAGGUGGUGCCUGAUGACCAGCACAGAGCUCUCUAUUCGACACACUCGUUUAAGAUUUUGUUCAAGGAAGGGGGAUGUGGUACCUUUGUACCACUCUUCUUCAACCUGCUGUCUUCAGUGAGGCAAUACAAUCAAUACACGAAUGCAGGUCCUCGAGUCGAUCCAUUGCAGGCAGCACAAACUCCUGUCGAUGAAAUGAUGAGACAUGCAUAUGUGGACCCACAUGAUCCGACCAAAAUCUUCUUACAACAGCCAUCGACAGAGUCCCAGUUAAGGCGGCGCACCUACCAGUCCCAACCAGCUGAAAAUGCAAUGUGAAGUUAGUUGAACGACCUCAUGCAAAUAGUUUUAUUGGUUGGUUGGUUGGUACUUUGUUUAAGUGAGGGAGUUGAUGAUGGAACGAGUGAAUACUUGUACAGUUGAAGGAUGGACCGUUGAAUUUAAAGUUACGGUUAGACCCAAUUGUUAUCUACUUAAGCUUCUACUUAACUCUUCCUGUCUGUUAUAUUGCCUGGGGCCGGAUGAAAGGAUUUACGUAAAGAAUUUGUUCAACUUAAAUAUAAUAAUAGAAGUGUAUCCUGUUCUUAUGA